UUGGGGAAUGAUGUUUGCCACCUGUGAGGAGGAGAGAAAAGAAAUACACACACAGGAUACCUGUAUCUGUAACACCCCACCUGAAGAAAUCUUCACCAGACCACACGUACCUCGAGGGGGCAAAGGUUGAGUUUAGAUCACAAAAACCUCAGUAUAAGCUAAGGUUGUAAUGGUUGUUGAAUUCCUAACCAUACCACGUGGUGCAUUGGCUACACGGGUGGAAAUGGUUAAACGCAGAGGCUAUCGAUCCUGACAGAAUAAGAGCAAAUCUUAGAUACUAAUUACUAGUCUGCAGCUAGAAAUGAUGUCAACCUGGAAUGCGAAGACCGACACCCGCCAAAACAUCUAUUCUAUAAGAACAUUUCUGAAUGGAACUCUGAAGUAUCGGUUCUAACCACGAAAGUCUUCAGGGAAGCAGAGAGGCGCUCGGAUGAACUUUCCAACAGAAGGACUGACGAUUCCAACAGAGGUCACGACGGCACACUGGGGAGGCCCUCUGAGUCCUGGAGAGUAAAGAAGAACAACUCCCAGCAUUUCAGCUUCAACACAAACUCUGUUCCCUGCAUCUCUACUGCUGCUGCUGGCAGCUGCCUCCUGUGUCUGCUGUGAUAUUGAACUCAUCCAUUCUGGUCCAGUGGUUAUAAAACCAGGAGUGACUUUCAGCAUCUCCUGAAAUUCUCUGGGUUUUCUAUAUCUUCUUACUGUCCUCACUGGAUAUGACAAGCUGAAGGCAAAGCAUUGGAGCAUGUUGGUUAUACAUGCAGUAGUAGUACUAGUAGUACCACUGUAGAUGCACUAAAUAGCAAGAUCAGUUCUAGUUAUUACUUGGAAAUGUAUUUUGAGUGUUGGACUAGUAACCGAAAGGUUCCAUGUUCAAAUCCCUGAGCUGACAGUUUACAAAUCUGUCGUUCUGCCCCUGAACAGGCAGUUAACCCACUGUUCCUAGGCCAUCAUUGAAAAUAAGAAUUUGUUCUUAACUGACUUGCCUAGUUAAAUACAGGUAAAAUAAAAUAUAAAUUCUGACUGAA